CUUAUAUUAUCAUGCGUUCCUGGUAGCAAAUUUGUAAAAUCCCAGCUAAAAUGGAGCGUUUCGGGCCGUUUCAACGGCGAAGAGAAUAAUGAAGCGACGAUUGCAUCGCGAAAAUGAGUCGCGGUUAAUUCAUGUGUAGAAAGAUGUUUCGCUAUUUCUUCCAUCGUACUCGCCACGACGUCUUGUAUUGCAAGAUAAAGUUUUGAUAAAAUUGUUGUCUUUUGCCACUGUUAUACAAACAACGAGUAUUUUGCAUGAGCUGCAAAAAUAUUUUAUCAAUAUUAUAGUUCAGGCAGCAUGCAAAAAUAAACAAUAAAGAACGAAAUCAAGCAACCAAGUUUAUAUUUAGGUAUUAGUCAGAAGUAGCAACAAAUCAAAUGCUGCUAUCAGUUUUAAUAUUGACAAUGAUGGUGACCAGAGAUAUUGCCAUUCAGAAAUUUGAGUACAAAUUUCAGGAAUUUUACUUUACAAUCUGUAGGACAAUUAUAUGGAAAAAGACAAAUGCAUAGAUUUGAAUGGUACAUUCUUUUCCCUGAAUGCUCCAUCACAAGCGGCAGGUAGUCGCAAGCGUCUGAAAAAUGAAGAGAGAAACAGAGCGAAACAAUGUAAAAGGCAACGGACGGCUGAGAACAAGAGGACAUUGUUGCAACGUUG
rnacentral:lncRNA from 1 species